rnacentral:lncRNA from 1 species
AUGGAGUUUGCAGCAGCUGCAGUAGCACUAUUCUGUGAAGCCAACACAUUUAGAAAUAUAAGCAGAGAUGUGAGACCAUUAAGGUUCUUAGAGGAGAGAUCCUAUAAGCAGCAAGACCAUCUGUUGUCUGGGUCUGUAUGUGUAACCAGAAACACACCUGAGGAGGAUGUGAAUACCUGGGAUUAAAUCUAAUGUACCUGAAUAAAACUUUUAAAAGAUUGGAGAGGAAUGGAAUG